UCGAGCGGGAAAGCCCGCAAGGGUGAGUACAGCGGCGCACGGGUGCGUAACACGUGGGUAAUCUGCCCUGAAGCCCGGAAUAACUCGCCGAAAGGCGUGCUAAUGCCGGAUGAGACCACGGGAGCCUCGGCUCCUGCGGGAAAAGGUGGCCUCUGCAUGCAAGCUACCACUUCAGGAUGAGCCCGCGGCCCAUCAGCUCGUUGGCGGGGUAACGGCCCACCAAGGCUACGACGGGUAGCUGGUCUGAGAGGACGAUCAGCCACACUGGAACUGAGACACGGUCCAGACUCCUACGGGAGGCAGCAGUGGGGAAUCUUGCGCAAUGGGCGAAAGCCUGACGCAGCAACGCCGCGUGUGUGAUGAAGGUCUUCGGAUCGUAAAGCACUGUCGGGAGGGACGAAUAAGGGCCGGGUGAACAAUCCGGUCCGAUGACGGUACCUCCAAAGGAAGCACCGGCUAACUCUGUGCCAGCAGCCGCGGUAAUACAGAGGGUGCAAGCGUUGUUCGGAAUUAUUGGGCGUAAAGCGCGUGUAGGCGGUCUCGCAAGUCGGAUGUGAAAGCCCUCGGCUUAACCGAGGAAGUGCGUUCGAAACUACGAGACUUGAGUACCGG
rnacentral:rRNA from 1 species